UUCAAAUUCGUCAUUUAAGGGCAAUGCAAUAACUCCUUUAAGAACUAAUGUGAGAAUUUUAUAGUAAAUGGACAAAUGGUAGAGCUCAAGAUUUUGAAGAUAAUCAUCUGGCCCUUUCGAAUUGUCUAUGUCUACGGCUGUUUUUAAAUAAUUGACAUCAUGCACUUGCAUGCCCCCUUUGUUUAUUUCUUAGCCACGAAGGCCAUCUUGGUUGACAAGCGGGG
rnacentral:lncRNA from 1 species